UUUUAUUUGAGAGUUUGAUCCUGGCUCAGGAUGAACGCUGGCGGCGUGCCUAACACAUGCAAGUCGAGCGAUU
rnacentral:rRNA from 1 species